CAACCCCCUUGUGCACGCUUCAGAUUAAGCGGCGGCGCUCUCGAUCCGAUCGAGAUGCAGGACGACGGCGGCAGGGCUCGGGGAACAGUGGGGAAGUGGCGGACGUCGAGGCGAGGUGGCCCAGGUCGGGAUCCAAUGCGGCGGCGCGGAGGCCGGCAGCGGCAACGCUCCAUGGCCAUGGCUGCUCGGUCUCUUGGGAAGAAGAGAGGAGGGAGAGAGGAGGUGAGAUGGAGAGAAGAGAAGGCGGAGUAGGGACGGCGCGGCUUCCUGCUGCUGGUCCGGCGAUGGCUCCAGGUUUGAUUUUUGGAUUCCUCUCCUUCCCGCUGCACGAUGGGGGUUGCCCAGCCGCCACUCUCCCUACCCCGUGCACCUCCUCCCCCUAGCCGCACCUCCCUGCCUCCAUGAAGACGCCGUCGCCCUCGCCUGCAUCUCGCUGUUGUUUUGUUGUCCAUGGAUAAGGAGCGACAGAUUUGACAGAAAAUAGAAGAGAAAAUUUUCUAGCGUAAAAGGAGAGGAUCUCAGAAUGAAGGGAUUUUUUAGCUGUAUUUAACGGACAAUUUUGUGUGAUUUUUUCAGAAUUUAUAGCCAAAGUCUAUUUGAUUUGUGCAAUGAAAAUCAGAUCCAUCCAUUGAUUGAUAGAAUUUACCAUCCUUCUUCAUUUUGAGAGGUCAAUCUGCGUUGUUAUCUAUUCAUUGGUGGUGCUUCGAAAAAGAGAGAGCAGGAGGCAAUGACACCGUUGUCAACAGCACGGUGCAGCGAGGUAGGAAGCCGUGUGCAAGGGAUGAAACUGGCAGCGGUGCGCCAUGACAGGCCCCAGCAGAAUUUUGUAUAUGAGGCUUUGCUGUCUGGAUCUGUAUAUAUAUAUAUAUAUACAUGUAUAUAUAUAUAUAUAUAUACAUAUAUAUAUACACAUUUUGCAGGUCAGUGCCCUUACUUACCUUAAAGUUGAAGGUAAAUCUUCAGAAACAACUAUUUUUAGGGUUGGUUCAGUCUGAAACCAAUCUGAAUUUUGUAACAAGGUUCAACAUUGCUCUCUAAAUCUAGAUAUUGUGCAGACCAGUGUCAUUAUUAAGUAGCUUAAAGUUGUAGAUAAAUCUUCAGAAACAACAAUUUUCUUUAAUCAGUACAUAAAACAAUACUAAUUGUUGGUUAUUCAGGGAGUAGGAGCUUGAGGAAUAUGCAGAGAAGGCCAUGCCGUACGUUGCCUGACACAACAACUAGGAACAAGAGCAAAGCUGGACAACGAUCGGCCCAGCAACCACCGGCAUGAUAUCUACACACACCUACAGUUUGUGGCAAACUAAAUAUGUUUUUUGGUGGAAUCAUUAGCCAUUGCUUGAGUUUUGAUGACACAUGCAUUCUCUUUGCCCAAUGUAAGGAGACCACUCUUGCAUACAUGAUGCUCUUGUACUUGUUUCUCUGAGAUGCAUUGCUCUCAUCUACCAGACUGCAUUUCAGCUUGGCAAGCCCACCUCCAAUCCAAACAACUUUGUGUUCAUGAGCCAUGGCAUGGUAGAGUGAUGCAGCCUUUUACGGAUUUCUGGAACUGUUAAUUCCAGUGCCUUCUGAAUUUUGGUCUUGGGAGUUGAAGCGGAUUUGAUUUUGGCGUUACAUUAGUGCGCUUUUCUUUUGCGAAUAUAUUUUCAGCAGUCAAACCGCCUGUUGUGAAUUGAUUUUCAUUGUGAAGCUUGCAGGUGAAUCAGGAUCUGCAUGCUAUGGUCUUGCUGGUGCUAGCGGGAGCUCACGGGCGAUCUCCCAGUCUACCGCCCCGACGGACAGGAGACGCAGCUCUCUCGCUGGGAGACCGGCACGGUCAACCCCAUUGGCGAUAUGUUCCCGGCCUGGAUCAAUCGGUCCAUGCACAACUGGAGCAAGCAGGUUGAUGGAUUUUGAUAAGGAUGUUAGCUUGAAAGUUGCAACGUACAAAGCUUGCUAUUAAGUGUUGUCCCGUUGCCUUUCACGGACACACGUAUGGAUCCGCUAGGCAGGCUAGAUGCCAAUCUCCACACGCCUAGAGUUGCUGGACUUCCGUCCUCCCACAUCAAACUUCAUGCAUAACCUUCGUCCAUCCGCAGAGAAGGUGCCGACUGCAUUGUUCGCUAGAUGGCAGCCUGGGCGUGACUAGGAGCCUAUGACUCCAAUGGUUCAAUUAAGUUUCUACUUUUAACCAUCCCACGCAUGACAGGAAGCAAUUCUUUUUUCUUUGUUCAGAGUUUCUUAAAAGGUAUGUAUGCAUUUAAUCAAAAAUAUUUACUGAUUUAGUCUAAUGACUACUGAGGAAGUAUGUGACAGGGAUGCUUCCCCACUUACCCCGGGAUCGUAAAUGCUGAUUACAAUUGAAGAUCUGCAUAUGUGUGAUUGGGAUUUUAUGUGAAUAUAUAUGAAGCUACUAGGGAGUUUGUGUCUACUGGACCGUGCAUGCAGUAUUUAAUACCCACUGCUUUAGAUGUUGAAUAUAUUUUUACUAUAGUUAUUGGAACUAAUUUUCUUACUUGUAUGACAGAAAUUAAACUGCUACUUGUAUGUAAGAAAUUGUACGAUUUUAGUACUAUCAGUGAUCUAAUACAUGCCCCACAGAGUCUGACGACGGUGGUGAGGGCACAACCAGCUGCUUCCUACAGUUCAAUAGGCAAUCAAAUCAGGAUAUUUAUACAUCAUGUUGAGUCUGAUGAGGUCUCGGACGUGUGGCUUCUCCUUAAUUUUUGACGCCACCAGCUCCUGGUGAGUUUUCUCCCUUGAGUCAUUAUAGAGGGAGUGAAAUGGUCAGAAGGGAGAACUAGAAAAAACCUUGCUGCUGGAGAUGACAUCCACACCAUUUUGUGUGUGUUGGAGUGAUUGAACCAUGGCAAUCAGAGCUGACAACGCAUCUCCCUUCCUCAUACACACUUUUUGGGUAGUAGUGCAUCUAUAUUCCAUUCGUACACCAAGAGAUUAUGUUAUUUUCCUUUUGCUGAAGCAGUUACGGUUGAGUAGUACAUCAUUAUCAUUCUCAACAACUUCAUUCAUGACACCUUUGAUACUCAUGUAUGAGAAAGAAAUUUCACUCAUCGAGUUUCUUUAUUUGACUUUAUGCUGUUCAAGAGGGGAGGCCAGAAGGCGGGCCGGCCGGCAGCGGCAUUCUGUUCGGGGAUGCGUGGAUCUGGUGAUGCUGGUGCAGGGGAACGGGAAACAUCACCUCCGCCAAGGAAUUUCACAUAGCCAAUUUACCUUUCUCCCUAAAGAUUUUUUACUCUGCUAUCAGUACCACUGGUCUUGGGGUUUAGAUUUUGUCAAUAUCAAAAUUUGGGUACUUACCAGCAAACGAGUUGUUGAUCUAUUUACUUAGUCAAGUUCAUUUCUGCUAUGUUAUGUCAGUUAAGCUUCAGAUUCUAGCCUUGAUUAAAUGGCAAUGAUAUUCUCCAAAACCUACUGAUGUCAGAAAUCCUGCUACCCAACAGGAUGGUUUGCCAACUAAUGUGAUCAAAACAUUCCUGCUUUAGAUAGAAGAACUUAUUUCCUGUUA